CCCGUGUUCACCCGCUGCUCAGCUGGUGGGCUCAGCUGGCCCGGAAUAGCUUUGCUACACCAGGAACUGCGGGAGAUGGGAGCUGCCACUUGGUUUCCAAACCCAGUGGACUAGCUCUUCCACCACACAGGGCUGUGGGGGAAGCCGGGGCUGCGUUCACCAGCUGCCCACUCACUCAGCUCCUCUUUACUGAGCAGGGGUUUAGGGUGGAGGAACUGGUUCCGCUGCCUGGCUGCCCACCCAGAAGAGGUCAUCUGCACGGAGCUGCCACUUGGCUGUCGUGCCCACUGGAAUGAUCUUCCCCAACAUGGAUCUGGUAUCACCAGGAAAAGAGGGGAGAGUGGCCGCAGCCAGUCUCAGGUCUGUGUAAAAACUUGCUGGAGAUGGUGCAGUGGUGGCCAAGCCCUUUCUCGGGGAUCGAGCAGUCUGAAUAAGGUGAAGCAUGCGAUCAGAGGAACCUGAGAUCAAAGGCGUCUCCACAGGAGGACUUGCCGAAGGUGGGGCAGGAAGCCGUCCUUCAACAGUGACAAACAACACCGCUAUCGUCUCUGCAAACCCAGAAUGAUUAAUAGGUUUACCUCAUUCAUCCCCUCAUCUGACACAGAUCAUUUGCUUAUUAAGAUCUGCCCUGGGAAAAGCUCGCAGUGCCUAUUUCAAAUGUCAGCUUAAGAUGACUGUUCAGUUGUGAUCCAGAACUUUAACGGCCCCUGCACAUUGCCUCUCAUCUCUGUGUUGUCCUUGAGCUCACCCUCCCUGCCCACGUGCAUUCUGAACAGCAAGGAUUUCUGGCUGGACUUGUUGUUUGGGUCAAGUUCAGAGAGUGUUCUUGGUUUCUUUCAUCAUCUAAUAAAGACGAGGGCGGAGGUCGGGGGAAGCACGUCUUAGAGAUGAAGGGCAAAUUGAGAUCUUUGGUUCAAAGACUGUGGCUCCAUCACUUUCUCUGACUUAGAAAUCGUAUUCAUCCCGCGCUUCCUACUGCAAAUCACUCUGGUGCGACGUGACAAUGCAGCAGAUACACCAGGACUUUUCCCACAUCACACUACAAACACAGCCACCCUCUCUGGGGAACCUAAGAGAAACUUUUGGGCUUCCACUUCCCCUCCAUUUGUUUGAAGGAUCAAGAGAACACAGUUCCAUUUUCAACAAAAAUUAAAAAGGAAAAUCAUGAAAAGAGCCAACCUCCUUUUUUUUUCCUCUCUUAAUAUAUUGUUGCAUCCAGAGAAGAGGAAACAGUGAGCGCCACUGAUACUGGGUCCCCAGAGAUCCCAUAAGGGUCACUCCCCAGCUGUCACAUGAGCGUGCUCUUCCUCCACUUGCAGAGCAGAUUCGUAACGGGACUGGAAGUUACUCUUGGCUCAGCUCUGCGGCGUAAAGAAAUGAAAAGCCACAAUGCUUCAGGGACCUGGGCUGUGCCCACACCUGGGGUUUCACAGGCAGGACAGUUUUCAGCUUUAAGGCUUUGGAGGUUUGGAGAAAGGAGAUUUGAAAAACUGAGAGCGAUGUUCCUGCUGUCCUCCAUAGGCCUGCUAAGAGCUGUGAGCUCCAAAGGGCGGGGACGAACUCCUUCCACACGUUUUUGUUUUUAUUUCUUCUUGAGGAGCUGUCUACGGGGCCAUAGGCCAAUUCACUUGAGGACUCAACAUGUGACAGCAUGUCGUUUCUUCUGCACUGUUGCAAAAUGACAUGUGCCCUGAAUAAAAUUUUCCAGAUUACUGGACUGUCCCCCUUUGUGAACCGAAUAGCUUAAAAUGAAAAUGUAGUUGGAGUGCACGUAGUGAAUAAGUGUGGCAGAGACGAUUAACUGCUCUUUGAGCAUGCGACGUCAUUAUCAUGAACAUGUAUUAUUUUCCUGGCUGGAUGGAGACGUCCUCAGGGUCUAUGGAGAUGAAAAGGACUCUUUGCAGCCUCACCUUAUGGUCUCGAAGUCCUGGCCUCCUUCCAUUGGUUUUCUGAUUUCUAACUCUGCGCUCACUUGUCUUCAGUAUGCCAUUUCUUCCCAGGAUCUGUGUCUGAGAAGGUUCAUUGUCUUUUCAGUCUCGACUACUUACUUCUUCACCAAGUAUCACUCAGAACAAAACUGAGAGAAGCCAGAUGGACUUAAUUCCACAUACAUUACUUGGUCAAUAUGCUCUCUUGCCAGCCGAGUAAGGAGCAGGAGUUUUAUGAUAGCUGUAAAAAUCUAAUUUAUCCCUUCUGUCAUUAUGUGAGGAGGUGGACUUCAUGGCUCCUCAUUUAUUUUGUACUUAGAAAAAUAUGCAUUUAUCUUAUUAUUAAAAUUUGCCUUCGGUAGAACAAGUUGGUUGGACCUCCAAAACAGAAUGUGACCCAUCCAUUUCUAACUUGUUUGCUGCCUCCUUAACCCGGGCCAAUAUCAUCUCUCACAGACUAUUGAAACUGCCUCUUAAUGGUCUCCCAGCAUCAUCCUGGGUUCCUUCCAACCCCUCCUCCACACUCAAGUCAGAACGAGCUUUAGAAAGUGUGAAUCUCUUGUUCCACCCAUGCUCAGUGGCCUUCCACGUCAGCCACACCUUGCACCACUCCCUCUCCUGCGGCGUUCUGCCGAGUUGUUUUCUCUCCUUGGCCACACUCCCAUGGACAUCUCUGCCCAGUGUGGCACAACUCUGAUGGGCAAACCUUGCCCCCUCAGCUGCCCGUCACGUUGGGUGAGGCGUGGUCAGGCCUGCGUCACAGUUCUGCACCAAUCUUCCUUCAUCCCCCUUCUCUUCGCUGGCACUAAUCCCUAAUAAACACCUCACACCUGAAUCUGUCUCAGCACCUCCUUCCAGAGAACCCAACCCGCUACAGCCUAUACGCUUUGAAGGCACGGGAGGAACUUGCCAGCCAGGUCACUGGAGCAAGUUAGUUCACUCUCCUGAACUCCACUUCCUUGUCAGUGAACAGAGAUGAGAUUUGCUUCUCAGGGCUGU